CUAGAGUCUUGACAGUAUCAAAAUAGGAAAUCCUUCUUUCUCAAGUCUUUUGAAUAUUUCCGAAAUCUGGUUGUUUCUGGCCUUCCCCUGAAUUGCUUCCUGUAACGCGUCUCAAAUAGCCUCUAUCUACUGCGUGAUUCACCGUGAAAACGGUUGGAUAAUCCAUACAACGAAAUAUCAAUCUAAAAAUAAGAAGGUCUUCGGGGAAUUCCUAAUUUUCUGUAUACCAUUCAACUAAGCAUCUCUUAGGUCUUCAUUUCAAGGGCUGUCCAAGAUGCUGUUUAAUAAACCGAGCGCUAAAAAUUGGUAUCUUGCGGCAGAUAUAAACCGCCAAAAUAAAUUCGUUGCUUGGCUCAUAUGGAUGUUCCUAUGAUGUUUCAUUUUUCUUCUUCACUCAGAAGUAACUCAUAUUCAAAUUUGCAGGCGCCACAAACACGGGAAGUUUGCCAUCUCAACCCAUAUUUUGCAGAAAUACGAGAGAGGGCUGACCACUAAUAUCCGAUGAGGAAAAUAUAAACUUGCAACCAGUGCCACAGGGAUUCCGGGGCUUCGGACCUCUCCAAGGCAGUACUAGUAAAGUUUCGGUGUUCUCGAUUUGAAACUGUCUUGCAGCUGUCCAUGCCGCAGAAAUCCUCUAGUCAUUUUUUACACCGGAAAUUCUAUUCCAGAUUUUCUGUAGAUUGAGUUGCGACAAAUUUACGUCUGCGGUUUGAAGCUCUCCUGACUGUCAAAAUUGCAUAUUAUUCUUGUCACAGUUUAUUGAAACAAGACGAGGUCUCGAAUGCAUAACAUCUUCCAUAGCGCAUCAAGCUAAUCCAUGAAGAACUGCUGUUUUGGCCAUGCAAACAAACCAAGCCAAACAAUUUCAGAAUAUGCACACUCCCCCUUGUGCGUGUCCAAUCAACCUCGUCCAGUAUUUACAGGGAAUCAUUGGCGCCCACAGGGAUAACUAGUUCCACCAACACAGUACAAUGCACAUCCAAUUCAUACAUUGUCUUGACUUAGAAAAGAAGAAGAAUAGGUCUUCCAAAGGUGCCGUAGAAGUCACCCACCGCCCUCCCACCCAAGAGAUUCUAAAAAUAACCCUCCGGGCCUGGAGGAAUUUAAGCGCCUGGGGGGGGUAACUAUUGUGGCCUGUGCGUAUGUGGGUCAACUUGGGCGCUUAUGUAUGACGCUAGAUGGUGUUGGAUGAAGGACAAACAGCAAUACAUUGGGUUAACAUCCAUGUUAUGAGGUAGAUGAGCAACCAUCAGCAAGUCUGGAAGAUAAUUAGCUCAAGAUUUCCCACGGGAAGUUAUGUUAGUUCCAUGACCCAACAAGGAGUUGUUGCUUGCUUCACUUGAAUAGAUGUCAUCAACCAUCAGGGUGUGCACCGCCUACACCCAGAAGAAGAAAAGAAGCAUACUAAAUGAAUUUGCAGAUAAACACUGGC
rnacentral:sRNA from 2 species